rnacentral:rRNA from 1 species
UCCGAUUGAUCCCGUCGGACCCCACUGCUAUCGAGGUGGGACUAAGCCAUGCUAGUUGAGCGCACAGAACUAUGUCUGUGAGCGGCACACUGCUCAGUAACACGUAGCUAACCUACCCUUAGGACGUGGACAACCCCGAGAAAUUGGGGCUAAUCCGCGAUAGAUGUAUUGUCCUGGAAUGGUAUUACGUCUAAAGGUAUCCCAUACAUGUUUGGUAUAUGCCUAAGGAUGGGGCUGCGGCCGAUCAGGCUGUUGGUGAGGUAAUGGCUCACCAAACCUUUGACCGGUACGGGCCAUGAGAGUGGUAGCCCGGAGAUGGACACUGAGACAAGGGUCCAGGCCCUACGGGGCGCAGCAGGCGCGAAACCUCCUCAAUGCACUUACGUGCGAAGGGGCUACCUCGAGUGCCACCUGAUGAAGGUGGCUUUUUCCUAGGUCUAAAAAGCCUUGGGAAUAAGAGAGGGGCAAGACUGGUGUCAGCCGCCGCGGUAACACCAGCCCCUCGAGUGGUGGGGAUGAUUAUUGGGCCUAAAGCGUCCGUAGCCUGCCGUGUAAGUUUCCCGUUAAAUCCAGCGUCUUAAGCGUUGGACCGCGGGAAAUACUGUACGGCUAGAGAGUGGGAGAGGUCAGCGGUAUUCUGGGGGUAGGGGCGAAAUCCUUUGAUCCCCGGAGGACCACCAGUGGCGAAGGCUGCUGUCUAGAACACGUCUGACGGUCAGGGACGAAAGCUGGGGUAGCGAACCGGAUUAGAUACCCGGGUAGUCCCAGCCGUAAACGAUGCAUGCUAGGUGUUGGGUUGGCCACGAGCCACCCCAGUGCCGCAGGGAAGCCGUUAAGCAUGCCGCCUGGGAAGUACGAUCGCAAGGUUGAAACUUAAAGGAAUUGGCGGGGGAGCACCACCAGGCGUGAAGCCUGCGGUUUAAUUGGAGUCAACGCCGGGAACCUUACCGGGAGCGACAGCAGAGUGAAGGUCAGAUUGAAGAUCUUACCAGACGAGCUGAGAGGGGGUGCAUGGCCGUCGCCAGUUCGUGCCGUGAGGUGUUAUGUUAAGUCAUAUAACGAACGAGACCCGUGCCGCAUGUUGCCACCAGAAUCUAAAAGGAUUGCUGAGCACUCUUGCGGGACCGCAGCCGAUAAGGCUGAGGAAGGUACGGGCAACGGCAGGUCAGUAUGCCCCGAAUCUCCCGGGCCACACGCGGGCUGCAAUGGUAUAGACAGAGGGCUGCCACCCCGAGAGGGGGAGCCAAUCCCUAAACUGUACCUCAGUUGGGAUCGAGGGCUGCAACCCGCCCUCGUGAACAUGGAAUGCCUAGUAACCGCCAGUCAUCAUCUGGCGGUGAAUACGUCCCUGCUCCUUGCACACACUGCCCGUCGAACCACCCGAAUGAGGUCUGGGUGAGGAAUGGUCGAAUGUUGGCCGUUUCGAACCUGAGCCUCGUAAGGAGGGUUAAGUCGUAACAAGGUG